rnacentral:tRNA from 1 species
GGAGAGGUCGCAUAGUGGCCUAGUGCGCACGCUUGGAAAGCGUGUAAACCGCAAGGUUUCGGGAGUUCAAAUCUCCCCCUCUCCG